GAGGGGAUAGCUCAGGCAUAGAGUGUGUGCUUAGCAUGCAUGAGGUCCUGGGUUCAAUCCCCAGUACCUUCA
rnacentral:tRNA from 1 species